CCUACGGGAGGCAGCAGUGAGGAAUAUUGGUCAAUGGACGAGAGUCUGAACCAGCCAAGUAGCGUGAAGGAUGACUGCCCUAUGGGUUGUAAACUUCUUUUAUAUGGGAAUAAAAUGUUCCACGUGUGGGAUUUUGUAUGUACCAUAUGAAUAAGGAUCGGCUAACUCCGUGCCAGCAGCCGCGGUAAUACGGAGGAUCCGAGCGUUAGCCGGAUUUAUUGGGUUUAAGGGGAGCGUAGGUGGAUUGUUAAGUCAGUUGUGAAAGUUUGCGGCUCAACCGUAAAAUUGCAGUUGAAACUGGCAGUCUUGAGUACAGUAGAGGUGGGCGGAAUUCGUGGUGUAGCGGUGAAAUGCUUAGAUAUCACGAAGAACUCCGAUUGCGAAGGCAGUUCACUGGACUGCAACUGACACUGAGGCUCGAAAGUGUGGGUAUCAAACAGGAUUAGAUACCCCAGUAGUC
rnacentral:rRNA from 1 species